rnacentral:rRNA from 1 species
AUUGAACGCUGGCGGCAGGCCUAACACAUGCAAGUCGAACGAGUGGCGGACGGGUGAGUAAUGUCUGGGAAACUGCCUGAUGGAGGGGGAUAACUACUGGAAACGGUAGCUAAUACCGCAUACCAUCGGAUGUGCCCAGAUGGGAUUAGCUAGUAGGUGGGGUAACGGCUCACCUAGGCGACGAUCCCUAGCUGGUCGGAGAGGAUGACCAGCCACACUGGAACUGAGACACGGUCCAUACUCCGACGGGAGGCAGCAGUGGGGAAUAUUGCACAAGGGGCGCAAGCCUGAUGCAGCCAUGCCGCGGGUGUGAAGAAGGCCUUCGGAUUGUAAAGCACUUUAAGUUGGGAGGCGUUACCAACAGAAUAAGCACCGGCUAACGUCGUGCCAGCAGCCGCGGUAAUUC